GAUGGACCCGCGGUGCAUUAGCUAGUUGGUGAGGUAACGGCUCACCAAGGCCACGAUGCAUAGCCGACCUGAGAGGGUGAUCGGCCACAUUGGGACUGAGACACGGCCCAAACUCCUACGGGAGGCAGCAGUAGGGAAUCUUCGGCAAUGGACGAAAGUCUGACCGAGCAACGCCGCGUGAGUGAAGAAGGUUUUCGGAUCGUAAAACUCUGUUGUUAGAGAAGAACAAGGAUGAGAGUAACUGUUCAUCCCUUGACGGUAUCUAACCAGAAAGCCACGGCUAACUACGUGCCAGCAGCCGCGGUAAUACGUAGGUGGCAAGCGUUGUCCGGAUUUAUUGGGCGUAAAGCGAGCGCAGGCGGUUUCUUAAGUCUGAUGUGAAAGCCCCCGGCUCAACCGGGGAGGGUCAUUGGAAACUGGGAGACUUGAGUGCAGAAGAGGAGAGUGGAAUUCCAUGUGUAGCGGUGAAAUGCGUAGAUAUAUGGAGGAACACCAGUGGCGAAGGCGGCUCUCUGGUCUGUAACUGACGCUGAGGCUCGAAAGCGUGGGGAGCAAACAGGAUUAGAUACCCUGGUAGUCCACGCCGUAAACGAUGAGUGCUAAGUGUUGGAGGGUUUCCGCCCUUCAGUGCUGCAGCUAACGCAUUAAGCACUCCGCCUGGGGAGUACGACCGCAAGGUUGAAACUCAAAGGAAUUGACGGGGGCCCGCACAAGCGGUGGAGCAUGUGGUUUAAUUCGAAGCAACGCGAAGAACCUUACCAGGUCUUGACAUCCUUUGACCACUCUAGAGAUAGAGCUUCCCCUUCGGGGGCAAAGUGACAGGUGGUGCAUGGUUGUCGUCAGCUCGUGUCGUGAGAUGUUGGGUUAAGUCCCGCAACGAGCGCAACCCUUAUUGUUAGUUGCCAUCAUUCAGUUGGGCACUCUAGCAAGACUGCCGGUGACAAACCGGAGGAAGGUGGGGAUGACGUCAAAUCAUCAUGCCCCUUAUGACCUGGGCUACACACGUGCUACAAUGGGAAGUACAACGAGUCGCGAAGUCGCGAGGCUAAGCUAAUCUCUUAAAGCUUCUCUCAGU
rnacentral:rRNA from 1 species